UACACAAAGAAAACCACAGAGAGAGGAGUUCAUAUACAAUCUGCAACUGCAAGAAGAAACAGAAAGAAAAGUGCAGAUGAAGGCCCUUAACUACAUCCAAACUACACAUAUCAGAUAUUCAACUGACAAGAUUGGAUUGAGACCCUUAAGUGAUUUAAAUGAGGACGCUGGCUCUGAGGAGGUGGAUGGAGAAAAUUGGCCCCAAAGAUUUAACCCUAAGUUUUAAUGAAGUCUUGAGUUCCAAAGAAGACGUCCUGAAAUUAAAUUGACUCGGGCUUAUAGUGCCCCCUCGUGCCUGAUGAAGACAAACACAAAUCCCUUCAGGAGGAAAUCAUCUUGAACCCAAGUUCUCUACAUUUAUACACAUUAUCUAUUUAUUGAGGAAUCAUUUAUUGAACACCUAUUAUAUGCCAGACACUCUGUCAGGAACUUAGGAUGUUUAAAUAUAAGGUCGUAACAAAUGUCACAAAAUUGAAGAAAAACAGACACUUUGGAGAGUUUGGCUUAUAAGCAAAGAAGAGCCUUCUGUUUCCUCCUAGAUCCCUAAGCAAACAAAGGAUUUCAGAUAUUGAAAUGAUUAGAUACAGACUAUAAAAAUAACUAUUUACUAAAAGUUUAAUGAAAUAAAAAAUAGAAUAAUAAAACAAUCAAGGAGCACGGGAUAAUCAAAACCAAGUACAUUUGAAAAAGAACAAAAGAGAACUUUGCUAUACUCCAUAAUGAUAAAAUAAAAAUCCAAAA